GAAUGCGUAGCUCAGCUGGUAGAGCAUCUGCCUUUUAAGCAGAGGGUCGUGGGUUCGAAUCCCGCCGCAUUCACCA
rnacentral:tRNA from 1 species